AGGGAAGGCGGGCGGCAUGCUUUACACAUGCAAGUCGAGCGGCAGCGCGGGGGCAACCCUGGCGGCGAGCGGCGAACGGGUGAGUAAUGCAUCGGAACGUAUCCUCGAGUGGGGGAUAACCCAGCGAAAGUUGGGCUAAUACCGCAUGAGCUCUGAGGAGGAAAGCGGGGGACCUGCGAGGGCCUCGCGCUGGAGGAGCGGCCGAUGUCCGAUUAGCUAGUUGGUGGGGUAAAGGCUUACCAAGGCGACGAUCGGUAGCUGGUCUGAGAGGAUGAUCAGCCACACUGGGACUGAGACACGGCCCAGACUCCUACGGGAGGCAGCAGUGGGGAAUUUUGGACAAUGGGGGCAACCCUGAUCCAGCCAUGCCGCGUGAGUGAAGAAGGCCUUCGGGUUGUAAAGCUCUUUCGGACGGAACGAAAUGGGCGGGACUAAUACUCCUGUCUGAUGACGGUACCGUAAGAAGAAGCACCGGCUAACUACGUG
rnacentral:rRNA from 1 species